rnacentral:rRNA from 1 species
AGUCGACGGUAACAGGAAGCAGCUUGCUGCUUCGCUGACGAGUGGCGGACGGGUGAGUAAUGUCUGGGAAACUGCCUGAUGGAGGGGGAUAACUACUGGAAACGGUGGCUAAUACCGCAUAACGUCGCAAGACCAAAGAGGGGGACCUUCGGGCCUCUUGCCAUCAGAUGUGCCCAGAUGGGAUUAGCUUGUUGGUGGGGUAACGGCUCACCAAGGCGACGAUCCCUAGGUGGUCUGAGAGGAUGACCAGCCACACUGGAACUGAGACACGGUCCAGACUCCUACGGGAGGCAGCAGUGGGGAAUAUUGCACAAUGGGCGCAAGCCUGAUGCAGCCAUGCCGCGUGUAUGAAGAAGGCCUUCGGGUUGUAAAGUACUUUCAGCGGGGAGGAAGGUGGUGGGGUUAAUAACCGCAGCAAUUGACGUUACCCGCAGAAGAAGCACCGGCUAACUCCGUGCCAGCAGCCGCGGUAAUACGGAGGGUGCAAGCGUUAAUCGGAAUUACUGGGCGUAAAGCGCACGCAGGCGGUCUGUCAAGUCAGAUGUGAAAUCCCCGGUCUCAACCUGGGAACUGCAUUCGACACUGGCAGGCUUGAGUCUUGUAGAGGGGGGUAGAAUUCCAGGUGUAGCGGUGAAAUGCGUAGAGAUCUGGAGGAAUACCGGUGGCGAAGGCGGCCCCCUGSACAAAGACUGACGCUCAGGUGCGAAAGCGUGGGAGAGCACACAGGAUUAGAUACCCUGAUAGUCCACGCCGUACACGAUGUCUACUUGGAGGGUGUGCCCUUGAGGCGUGUCUUCCGGAUCUAACGCGUUAAGUAGACCGUCUGGGAGAGUACGGCCGCAAGGUUAACACUCAUAUGAAUUGACGGGGGGCCCCGCACAAGCGGUGGAGCAUGUGGUUUAAAUUUC